rnacentral:rRNA from 1 species
CUCCUACGGGAGGCAGCAGUGGGGAAUCUUGCACAAUAGAGGAAACUCUGAUGCAGCGAUGCCGCGUGAGUGAAGAAGGCCUUUGGGUUGUAAAGCUCUUUCGUCGGGGAAGAAAAUGACUGUACCCGAAUAAGAAGGUCCGGCUAACUUCGUGCCAGCAGCCGCGGUAAU